GAAAUGUUGGGUUAAGUCCCGCAACGAGCGCAACCCUUAUCCUUUGUUGCCAGCGGUCCGGCCGGGAACUCAAAGGAGACUGCCAGUGAUAAACUGGAGGAAGGUGGGGAUGACGUCAAGUCAUCAUGGCCCUUACGACCAGGGCUACACACGUGCUACAAUGGCGCAUACAAAGAGAAGCGACCUCGCGAGAGCAAGCGGACCUCAUAAAGUGCGUCGUAGUCCGGAUUGGAGUCUGCAACUCGACUCCAUGAAGUCGGAAUCGCUAGUAAUCGUGGAUCAGAAUGCCACGGUGAAUACGUUCCCGGGCCUUGUACACACCGCCCGUCACACCAUGGGAGUGGGUUGCAAAAGAAGUAGGUAGCUUAACCUUCGGGAGGGCGCUUACCACUUUGUGAUUCAUGACUGGGGUGAAGUCGUAACAAGGUAACCGUAGGGGAACCUGCGGUUGGAUCACCUCCUUACCUUAAAGAA
rnacentral:rRNA from 1 species